UUGAGCUUUGCAUAUGACUUAGCUUGAUGGCUUGUCGAGAGCUGAAGAAGCUGUUGUUGGGAGUGGUUAUGCAGCAUCCUGAGCAUGAAGCCGUUUGGAGUGCCAAGGAAGGCAAGAUAAGAACAUUCUACUAAAAAAAGUUGCAGUUUGUUUGCAUGCUGUCGUUUGAAGAAGACGACUCACCAGAGAUAUUGUUUGUUAUUGGGUGAACUGUUUCACUAACAAAAACCCCAAGGAAAUAACAACACUCAAUUCAGCUCAGCUCUAGAAGAUUCUCUAAUUGUAACUGCCAAGUUUUUGUAAAGAAAUGUUUGACAACCGUGACAGUAUACUUAAGUAUCUUGUUCAUCAAUUCAUCACAUACUACUCUCCAAAAGAUUUUGAAAUACAUUUCACAGAUGAAAUCAAAUCUCUCUCUCACACAUGCAACCAGAGUACUGAUAAUUUUCUAUGGCAAGUAUUGUGCGAAAAGGAGCCUUACAUCUCAAACAGAUCCCAGCAAAGUUAAUCUCUUUGGGCAACAGCUCCCAGAAUCCCCCAGGCAGUGUGGUUACUUGCCAUGCUGGCCUUAAAACAGUGGAAAUGAUGGUUUAAAAAACUAUUUCCAAAGCUAAGUAUAACUAAUUGUUUGAUAUCAACCUGCAAAUGUAAUUAAGAAUGCAUGCUACAGUUUAUGCAAAUAUGAUCAAGAUUUUGCUUUAGUUAAAAGAGAGAAGAUACUGGGAAGCAUCACCUAAUGAAGGAUAAAAGAGGGAAUGAAAACUGAAUGGGGAAAAAACACUAUUAAAAUUUUGUGAACAGCUAACAAGUUUCAGAAUAGAUCACACCUUUUCCACUAGCUGAUUAAAAAUGUUUAUUGAACUUGCAGGAAUUUCCUACCAUCUCAUUUUGAACAGACUCCCUGGAAUGGAGUAAUGGCAGAGUUCAUAUUGAUUGUCAAACUUCUUGAGUCAGAAUGUGGAACCUGCACAAUUGCAAUGUUAUAUCAAUCAAAUUCCACUACAAAGUAACAGGGGACAGGAAGUUCUAGAAAAUGGCAGUCAGUAAUGGCAGGCUGGCUUGGAAAUUGAAUCCAAGUGGGAAGAAAGAAGGGGAAAUGAAGGAGAAAGGAAUGUAUGCUGGAAGAUACAAAAAGUAAAUCCAAGCCAAGGCAAAGAUGGAUGACAGACUAUGUAUGUGCCAAGGUACGGAAAACUGAAAAAGCACCAUAUAUUUUUACAGAAGUGUCACCCAAGUAACACUAUAUACAUUACAUCCUGUAUACAAUUUGCUACUUGGCAAUUUUUCCAGUUGUAGUCUCCCACUCCAUGUCUUUUUGUUCUUUCAAACUCCUCCUCCCAAAAUAUCUAAAACUUCUUCGCAAUCUCACAGAAAAAGAGAGAAAACUUUUAAGGGCUCGUGUAUGUGGUUGUGUGUGUUCUUGCUCAUGUAAAUAAAACAAAAUUCAUACCUCUCAUUUGUGAGCAAAGAAACAUAAAAGGGGAGAGAGAUCAUUCAAACUCUAGGGGGAGAAGAAAUUUUCUCAACUGCAAUUUCUAUUUUUCUGUGUAGAACAUAUUGUGAUCAUUGAGGAUAUUUGCAGAAAAUUUCUAUAGCCAGGUUGAAAGAAGAAUAGCCUCAGAAAAACAUCUGCAGAGAAAUUCAAUUUAGCUCUCUACUAACCUACGUUUUCCCACUUAUGCCAGAGAUGGAAUACCUGAUACGGAUAAACAGCUUCCAUCAUUGAUCACCUUUGGCUACCUGGAGCUGAUGGGAAUUGUGGUCCAAUGUCAUCUGGGGGGCCAUGGGCUCCCAUUUUAUACUAUAAUUUUGCACCCCCACCAAACAUUUAUACACAUUUUAAGAGAUGUUAUCUGUAUAUUAAUUUUCUAAGGAUUUCUUCACACAGCACAAAUUUUGGAGGCAACUCUGGUUCCAUAGCAACUUGGCCAUGCAGCCGGCUCCCAUCACACACCAGAGAAGUACUUCUGGGGCGGCUCCAUGGCAAAAAUUGCUGUGGAACCUGAGUUGCUGCUGAAGAAAAGUGGUGGCAACAACAUGGGAGGCAUCCUGUAUUGCAUUGCCCUCAACAGGGCAAGCCGGCAGGUGGACACUUCCCCACAUGUGAUAAGGUGGGGAGAAGUUGGGAUGGUGCAGGGGAUGAUAGGUACAGCCAAAAUCGCCAUGAUCCAUGGCAAUUCCGGUGGCAUGUCUAAAGAGGUCCUAAAUUGAGUUGAAUUACGUUCUCCUGACUUAAAACCCCUUUACUUUUACUUAUGGGGGAACCUUAAAGGAUGCGGUGUACUGUAGAAAACUAGACACACUGGCAGUAUGUUAGGAAGAAAUUGAAACAGCAUGCCCAGUGAUGCAAGUGGGCACCUUGGUCAAUGUUGCUCAAGCAGUAGUUUGCCAUAAUUGGAAGUCUGGACACUGAUGGCAAUUGACAACCACUUUGUUAUUGGUAUAUGAGUAUAUUGAGUAUUACAAUUUUAAUACAGGUUUUUCCUUUCUUAAAAUGUAUAUACUUUUUGGUACCCUAUGUAUUUUGCUGAGAACCCUUACAUUCUGAAAGAUCAUGGUCCUAGGAGGCAAAUAGAUAUUCAUAAAACCAAGUGCCUGUGCAUAUAUUGUUCUUUAAAAAAACAAAAAAAAAACACGGUAUCAUCUAUAUUUUAAUGAGCUCUAAAACUCUAUGGGUAUGCCAGAGUUCAGUAAGCAAAUGAUACCUGCUUCACUUUUAAUUAUAGAGGCUGUGGCUACAAUCAGUUUAUCUUUUAACUUCACUACACAUUUAAAAAGAUCCCAGCAGAAGGUAAGCUGAGCAUGAUACACACAGAGGUCAUUAGUCUUUGCUUUUCAGCCGCCAAUGCUAACAGGCCUAAAAGUUUGCUGAUGACUCAUUCAUUGUCUUUUUUUUAGUGAAGCCCCAGACAGUUUGUGUGAACCAGCCAUUCACAGUAUCAAAGGAAGUACUCAAUAGCACAAAAACGUAAGGCUGCUUUUGACUUCACACAUAUCUGUAAUAUUUUUAACACAUCUUUCCCCACACACAACUAGCCUCAGGCAUUUCCAACCACAUAUGUAUUAAAGAGAGGGAUUGCAGGGGUUAGUUAAAUCGAUGAUUGGCUAGCCUUGCUUGUAUCUUGUUUGUUUUCUGUAAUAACUUGUAUAAGCACUGAGGUACAAGCUAUACUUGAGAACCUGAGUGAACUCCUGCCAAAAAAGAAAUCACCAUUCCCUUUUAAAAUUUUCACAUCAAAAUAGGACGGCCAUUCAUCUAGUCUUUUCCUAGAUAUUUAGGAUACGUUUG